rnacentral:rRNA from 1 species
UACGAAGGGUGCAAACGUUAUUCGGAAUCACUGGGCGUAAAGGGUGCGUAGACGGUGUGUUAAGUUCGUCGUUAAAGACUCCGGCCUAACCGGAGCACCGCGAUGAAAACUGGCAAACUAGAGGGUGAGAGAGAGAAGUGGAAUUCCUGGAGUAGCGGUAAAAUGCGUGGAUCUCAGGAGGAACACCAAUGGCGAAGGCAGCUUCUUGGCUCAUUCCUGACGUUGAGGCACGAAAGCGUGGGGAGCAAACAGG